CAAAAUGAGAGUUUGAUCCUGGCUCAGGAUGAACGCUGGCGGCGUGCCUAAUACAUGCAAGUCGAACGCUUUGUGGUCCAACUGAUUUGAAGAGCUUGCUCAGAUAUGACGA
rnacentral:rRNA from 1 species